CCCCCCCCCCACCCCCGCGUCUCGUCCUCACCAGCAGCAUCUGUACGUUGGCGAUGUUCCUAAGUUGGAUACAUCCGCUUUCGAAUCAGGGAAACCCCUCAACUAGAGCCGAAGCCUGUGAACACUCGCCCCGAGGCAUGACAGUGCGGUGAGAUAAAACCUUCUCAGUUCAACGAUCAAGCUAGCGAUCAUCGCCUACUCCCCAAGUCUCUUAUCAUCACCUGGUGCGACUGAAACUAAAUGGUAAGAGUAGGAAUCGAAACUGGGUCACUUAUUUAUCGCUUUUGUUGCCACCUCUUGAAGAUUAA